AUUAUGAGAGCAAAACACUAGUCCGGCUUAUCUAGAGAUGAUGAGCAGUUCAUCACUAUCGGUGUCGCGUACGAUCCAACGGUGAUGGAGAGUUCAUCACCACUUGUCCAGUGCACUUUCUAACGGCGAUGAAGAGCUCAUCACCGUCGGUGUAGCGCUUCAUUCGGCGAGGAUGAGAACCUCAUCACCACCGGUUUACUAUGUCACCAAUAAUGGUCUAUAUUGGGACAAAAGUGAUAAUGUAGUAUUAGAAUAUUAAUAUAAAUAUAUCAUAAUAAUGAAAUAAUGAAUAACAUCAGUAAUUUGAUCACAUCAAGUCCAAAAUCUCCACAAUGCAUCAAAAUAUAGAUCAAGUUGGAGCCGCAAGUCCAUACAUGAAAUCUAACAAGUUCAUACAAGCGAGUAGGCAGCCGGUGUGGCAUAGUGGUGAUGUUGCUGCGAUGUGGGUGAGCAUCGGGGGUGUUGGGUGUGGUGAUGUUGCUGAGACAAACAAUUUGCAUGUGUAAAGAUGAUGUGGUUUUGCUGAAAGCUAAAUUUAUUGAGCUUGCUCUAAAAGUGUGAUCUUUUAAAUUAGGAUGCACAAGACCCUUGCUAGGAAUCUUUGGGCUACAGGUGGUCGGUGCUACAUAGUGUGUGAAGUGCCACUGUCGGCGUUUGAUGACCAACAACUUGUCACGGGGUUACCUGGGACAGAGUUUGGUGGACUUUGGCAUAUGCAGAACUCGGUGGUAAACGCAAAGAUAACGAUUUAUAUCGGUUCAGACCGCUUGUAUAGCAUAAUACCUUACGUCCAGUUUGGCGUGAUGCCUUUGCGUUGGAUUGUAUGAUUGAUUGGAUUAUAAGGGGUGCCAUCUGCCACUCUUUAUAUAGCCCAGAGGGCAGGGCAGUUGUUCUUAUCCUGGUCGGUUACAAUUGGAGAGUCGUAGUUCUAUUAUAGAGACUAUUUUUCCUAAAUGGCCGACUAGGUCAGCCCUUGAAUACUUGGAGAUCACGCCACCUUGUUCAGUGUCUUCAAGUAGACCUUGAGCCGACCCAGACCUAUGGCGGGUAGUCGGUCUAGUGGGGAACCCUUAGGAUCCUGGUUCGUUAGCCGCAUGCCACGGUUCUACGUUUAAGCCUUUACACGAUCGACUCUCUCGCGUACUCCCUACAUCCUAAAAUAACUAUCGCUAUGAUAUUAGUGUCGAUGAAACUUUCUUAAGUCUGACUAGGUUUAUAGAAAACAUUAGCAGUAUUUGUAUCUCCAAAUAAAUUUAUUAUGGAAUUAGAUUCAACAAUCUACCUAAUGAUAUUAAUUAUGUACUAUAAAUAUUAAUAUUUUCUUAUAUAUAUUUAGUUAAAGUUAAAAAUAUUUAAUUGUCGAGAAGCAAGAAUGACACUUAUUUUGGAACAAGGGGAGUACGCGAUUUCAAUUCUAUCCACAUUUCUUUCUAAGUUGACUAGUUUGAGCGACUAUGUUUAAUUGAGGUUAUAAAACCUUCUUCUCUGUUACUUGUGGAUUUGAUAUUUGAACUUUAAAAUGCUCUAUAGAGAAACAGUGCCACAAUGUCACUAUACAUUUCAGUCUUAGGCCUUGUUUAGUUCACCCUGAAAACCAAAAAGUUUUCAAGAUUCCCCGUCACAUCGAAUCUUGUGGCACAUGCAUGAAACAUUAAAUAUAAACAAAAACAAAAACUAAUUACACAGUUUAGCUGUAAAUCACGAGACGAAUCUUUUGAUCCUAGUUAGUCCAUGAUUGGAUAAUAUUUGUCAAAAAAAACGAAAGUGCUACGGUACCGAAAAAUUUUCACUUUUCGGAACUAAACAAGGCCUUAGGGUACUCCCAACCAAGAAACUAGAUGGUUUCUGUCUUUGUCAAUUAAGGUGCCAACUAAGCAAAAAGAUGAUGUCGCACCGCAAUUAAAGAAGAGAGAUGAGGAAAUGGUUUCUUAGAAAAGAAACCAUAUUUACGCGAGAAUCUAGACAUGAAGAGAUGUGUUUGGUAGGAAUAAAGAAAGAAGACAUGUGAUUGGAUAAAAAUUUAUUAUAUAAAAUUAUCAAUUGGAAACAUGUAACAUAGUUUCUACAUGCAGUGUCUAUGUAAAUUAAUAAAUAUAAAAACUACAUGUAAUUUCUAGUACCGGACCGUACCUCGAAGGAGAAGUAUGCAUGUGUCCCUUGCUUGACUUCAAUCACCAAGCUUGCUGGGUGCUUCAACCACCAAGCGGUACCCAGGAUGAGGCCCAACCUCCCUUAGUUCGUCUUCUCUCGAGACUCUUGCGACUUGUUGAAGGACGUAUACAAUGUUAAGUAGACUGGAGUGCUUAUAAGAUGUAAUAUAUGUGACAUCUUUAUUAAGCACUGUUGGUAACCGUUAUAAUGUACUCCCUUUGUUCCUAAAAGCUUUAACUUCUAGAGUUGUCCUAAUUCAAACUUUUAAAACUUUGACCAAAUUUCUAAAAAAAAUACUAAGAUUUAUAGUACUAUUAGAUUUAUCAUAGAAUAUAUUUUCAUAAGAUACUCAUUUUAUAUCUUAGAUAUUGAUGUUUUUUUUCUAUAAAGUUAGUCAAACUUAAAAAAAGUUUGAUUGACACGGAUUCUAUGAGUUGAAGCUUUCAUGAACAGAGGGAGUAAACUAGAGCCUUAAUAUUCUCAACACUAGUACCUUGUUAGCUUAGCACACAUUAAGCACGUAGAAAUUUAAAAUCUCAUCCGCAUGUAACUUGUAAGCACCAACCGCAAAACUGCAAAUGACAUAUAUAGCGAGAUAAAAAAAACUGAUUUCUUACUUAAGCACCUCUAUUAGCAUCUGUGUUCUACAAGCUCUUUACGCAGCGGCGUCGAGUCGGCCGGCUCCGGUCCACGGCGUCGAACCCCUAUAGUCCAAGUUCUGGGCGUCAGGGGAAGACUCCGAUGGAGCGGAGGAGGACGAGGCAAGUCCCGGAUUGGCGACACCAUCGACACCGACCUUCAUCAACGAAGCUUUGGCUGCAGGCUUCACGGUCGAACAGCUAGCAAGGGCGGAGCAAGCACAGGAUUCAGGUAAAAGUUCAUCGCCUACUGCUCAUCAAUUACCUAAUGUAAUUGUGUCAGAGUUGGUUCGGAGAACCAUCGCGAUGUCACCGUGGAAGGGUCCUCUACCCAGCCCUCGAGUUUCCCCGUCGAGGACGCUUGGGGAUUGCCUUGCCAUGGCGAGCAGACGGCAUACAGGUCCUCCUGGUGGAUCGGCCUUGUCAUCGAGACGGCCGAGAUCGUCGGCAAGGCCUAUGCCGAGCAGUGUUUAAAAAAUUUUCAAAUCUCCGGAAAACCAGGACAUCG
rnacentral:lncRNA from 1 species